rnacentral:tRNA from 1 species
CGACGGGCGUGGCGAGCACGGGACGCGCGCCCUUGGCACGGGCGCCGGCGAUGUACUGGCGCAGGUGGUCCUGGUACGUCGUCCAGGGCUCGGUGU